rnacentral:rRNA from 1 species
AGAGACAGCAGUCGCCGCGGGAAUACGUAGGUGGCAAGCGUUGUCCGGAAUUAUUGGGCGUAAAGCGCGCGCAGGCGGAUCAGUCAGUCUGUCUUAAAAGUUCGGGGCUCAACCCCGUGAUGGGAUGGAAACUAGUAGGCUAGAGUAUCGGAGAGGAAAGCGGAAUUCCUAGUGUAGCGGUGAAAUGCGUAGAUAUUAGGAAGAACACCAGUGGCGAAGGCGGCUUUCUGGACGAAAACUGACGCUGAGGCGCGAAAGCCAAGGGAGCGAACGGGAUUAGAGACCCCCGUAGUCCCUGUCUCUUAUACA